GUAGUAUUAACAAUAGCAUUUCCAUUUAAGUCUCUGUAUUUUGUUUAAGGAAUUGAAGGUCUUUCAUUUGCAACUGUACAGCUUCUUUUGGCAAGUUCUUUGGCUCUGGAAAAUUGACCUCAUCACUACCUUCAGCCACUUUCUUUGCCAUGUCUUUGACAAUCCUUUGUAUUUCUGCCUGCUCAACCGAUGGAAAAACAGCACUCAGCAUGACACACAGCAAUUCCUCAUCUUCCUUUUCUAUAGGAUUCCUCCCGAAGCAGCAUACAUAAAUUGCCUCAAGUGCCUUCUCAGC
rnacentral:misc_RNA from 1 species